UACAUGGGGUGCAAACGUUGCUCGGAAUUAUUGGGCGUAAAGAGCUCGUAGGCGGUGUGUCGCGUCGGCCGUGAAAACCUGCAGCUUAACUGUGGGCUUGCGGUCGAUACGGGCAUCACUGGAGUUCGGCAGGGGAGACUGGAAUUCCUGGUGUAGCGGUGAAAUGCGCAGAUAUCAGGAGGAACACCGGUGGCGAAGGCGGGUCUCUGGGCCGAUACUGACGCUGAGGAGCGAAAGCGUGGGGAGCGAACAGG
rnacentral:rRNA from 1 species